rnacentral:tRNA from 2 species
ACAAAUUUGCGGGAAUAGCUCAGUUGGUAGAGCACGACCUUGCCAAGGUCGGGGUCGCGAGUUCGAGUCUCGU